UUGUAUUUUGAUGAUUUAGAGGGCUUUUUUGCUUCUGAUUUUUGCCUUUUGCAAGUUUGUGGCGUUAUGUAAAGCGUAGGACCCGUCAUCCGUUGAUUUUAUUGUCUCUGUGUUCUUUUCUUUUCCUUUUGAAUCGCUCAGGCAUUUAAAAUAUGCAUUAUUUCAACCCCAGUACCACUGACAGAAGCUUAAAUUUUUUGGCCACAUAUGACAACCUCAAUAUCCCCCCCCCCCCCCCCCCGCACACACCGCCCUUGGUGCAGCUUCCUUUUCCUCUAGGACUUUUACUGACGGGAGGCUUUCCUGCACUUGAAAGAGAUGUAAAAGGAUUUGCUUUGGUUUGGUUUGUUUCUUUCCAGGACAGCAAGUGGUGGGUUUACUCUUUCUGUUACUGUUGACUCUUAGGAAAUUUCUGGCUGUUAGAAACGUCUGUGUGGGAACGUGUUUGCUUGUCGGCUACAAAAUUCUCUGCAGCCAAAUACGUGUUUGUGUUCAGCUUUUUCUUAAGGUCUGGAACUUUUUUUUUUCCUUUCUCCCCAGCCCCCCCUGGGUUCGUUUCAAGGUCGUUAGAGGAAAGAAAAAAAAAAAUCUCUUCGGUGCGUGUUGAAGGGAUCAGCCUGAGGGAAUUCUAAAGGCCUGCCUGCCAGGAUCACAGAUACUGCCUGUGUUGAGAACAGGCUGUGCCGCCACUAGCAGUCCGGUCCUCUCGGCCCUGGAGCAGAGCUGAGAGGAGGAGGGGGGUGGAUCUUUCUUUCCCUUCUUUCUUCUUUUAUUUUAAAGGUGAAUGCAGGGCCGAAUCCCUUUACUGUGGGCCCUGGUGUGUUUAUUCAUAGCCGCCAGUUUGCCUGUUUAAAUGUUGGUUGUUUUUUGGGUUUCUUUGCCCUCCUACUCAUCCCUGAAUGAGGGAGACUCUUGUUUCUUUUAUGUCUGUCUCUUGAAAGAAGGGUGUGAGGGGAAAAUAAUAUUCGGAUUCCUUAAGAAUGAACCCCAAAUGUUUGGGGCAAAAGAGGCUUUCAAAGGUCAGGCUGUUCUGGGCUUUAGCUGUGAAAGUCCUUCAAGUGGCUUGUUAAAUCACGGAUGGGCUCUCUGAAAGGUUCUGCAAAAUGUCCUCAUAUAUUAAUUUCUCGUGAAUAUUUGUGGGCCACAACCCCAAACGUGGCCUUAAAAAUACAGAUGUGAGCAGAGCUCUGAGCACUGCUGACGGUUUGGGGUUUCGGAGGAAUCUCUGUCCCCCGAAAAACGGUCCUGUAAGAAGUUUCAGCUAUGUUGCUGGAGUAACACCACCACUUCAAAAGGUGAUGUCACGGGCUUUAGAACUGCGAGAGUCCAAAGGACCUGAUUGUUUUCCUCAAGGCUGGCACUUACAAAAUCUGUUGUCUGUCCCCGAGAAAUCUGAAUAUUUGAAUACUUACUGGCAGAUGAAUUACUGCAGUCCCGACGGAAAAGCCUGUCUUGGGAAGGAGAUUUGAAUGCUAUACAUAGGCCUAAUCCUACCACUGUUGUGGAAAUGAACAUUUUACUUCCAAGACACAUGACUUUGUCAAAUGGGUCCACGCUGCCGGGAAGCAGGCUAGCUGCUUUGGUUUUUGUAUUUAGAGUUCCCAUUCCCUCUCAUUUUAGAGGAUUAAAUAAAUCCCAUUGGACCACAAUGACACCCCGAUGUUCUUUGUGUAGCUAGCUGUCUACCGUUCCCGAGCAAUAAGUGCGUCAGUUUUCUAGCUGCAAUUGUAGCUUUGCAACAGGAAUUGUAUGGUUUUGCUGUAUUGUUAUUCCUAUAAAUAGAAUUACUUUAUUUAUUUUUUGAUUAUUUUCUUUGUCAAAGUGACCGUGUGCCUCAUCCCGACUCCUACCCCAACCCUUAAACAGAGGCGCGCAGGCACACACAUCUUGUCCUGUCCAUCUUGUGUUCUCUUUGCGACGCCACUCUUAGCCCCAUGGGGGCGCUGCAGAGCAAAGGGAAAUGUACUCCCUCAGGCGGUAGAGCCAACCAGAGUGGGGGCUGGGAAGGAAUUUACCCUUCUCAUACCUCAAGCCCUGCUUUGAUUCUCUCAAGAGUUUCCGGAACAAGAGCCCACCAGGCCUACUUAUAGAUAAUUAUCCCCAUCACCAGAGGCCUUACAUCCUCCCUGGGACCAUGCGCCAGAGUUUGUAUGCCUGUGGACCUUUUCCCAGAGAUACAAUACGUAAAAACGAGUAAAGGAAAGUCAAAAUGAAGAAGUCUGGCAACCCUAUCUGAGCCCGAUGCAAAAACACUGCCAACAAGAACAAACCAUGUUGCUAGUAUGUGCCUGUUCUACGAUGUGAUAAACGUAGGGUUUUAUCUUUGUGGUCCUAUUUCCGUAGCCCAUAUCUAAUCAUAAGAAAAACAUCAAGCAUGCUAGUAGGGACAUCCUACAAAAAGCUUGGCCAGCAUCGCCUGAAACAAGGCAGGUCAGAGGGAGUACCACAGCCAAGAGCAGCCUAAGUGACAUGGCUACCAAACAGGAGCAUCCUGGAUGGGAUCAUUGAACAGGAAAUGUCCUAAGAGAAAAGAAACCCAAGCAAGACUGAAUCACGAUAGCAACACAGAAUGUCGUUUAGAAACAUGCUGUUACUAAUUACCAAUAGGAAGGGAAAUUAGGUAUAGGGUCACUCUCUGGACCACUGUCUUACUUUUCUGUUAAUGAAAAAUUAUUCUUAGAAAUAAAGCCUAUAAUUCAAAAA